UACGUAGGGUGCAAGCGUUGUUCGGAAUCACUGGGCGUAAAGGGAGCGUAGGCGGAUAUUUAAGUUAGGAGUUUAAUUCUCGGGCUUAACCCGAGGCUGGCUUUUAAUACUGAAUAUCUUGAGUAUUGGAGAGGAUGAUGGAAUUCCAGGUGUAGCGGUGGAAUGCGUAGAUAUCUGGAAGAACACCAGUAGCGAAGGCGGUCAUCUGGCCAAAUACUGACGCUGAGGCUCGAAAGCUAGGGGAGCAAACAGG
rnacentral:rRNA from 1 species